rnacentral:rRNA from 1 species
CCGGCGCACGGGUGAGUAACACGUAUCCAACCUGCCGUCUACUCUUGGCCAGCCUUCUGAAAGGAAGAUUAAUCCAGGAUGGGAUCAUGAGUUCACAUGUCCGCAUGAUUAAAGGUAUUUUCCGGUAGACGAUGGGGAUGCGUUCCAUUAGAUAGUAGGCGGGGUAACGGCCCACCUAGUCUUCGAUGGAUAGGGGUUCUGAGAGGAAGGUCCCCCACAUUGGAACUGAGACACGGUCCAA